AGUGAACGCUGGCGGUAGGCCUAACACAUGCAAGUCGAACGGCAGCACAGGAGAGCUUGCUCUCUGGGUGGCGAGUGGCGGACGGGUGAGGAAUACAUCGGAAUCUACUUUUUCGUGGGGGAUAACGUAGGGAAACUUACGCUAAUACCGCAUACGACCUACGGGUGAAAGCAGGGGAUCUUCGGACCUUGCGCGAGUGAAUGAGCCGAUGUCGGAUUAGCUAGGUUGCGGGGUAAAGGCCCACCAAGGCGACGAUCGGUAGCUGUUCUAGGAGGAUGAUCAGCCACACUGGAACUGAGACACGGUGCAGACUCCUACGGGAGGCAGCAGUGGGGAAUAUUGGACAAUGGGCGCAAGCCUGAUCCAGCAAUACCGCGUGGGUGAAGAAGGCCUUCGGGUUGUAAAGCCCUUUUGUUGGGAAAGAAAUCCAGCUGGUUAAUACCCGGUUGGGAUGACGGUACCCAAAGAAUAAGCACCGGCUAACUUCGUGCCAGCCGCCGCCGUAA
rnacentral:rRNA from 1 species